GGUGCGUAACACGUAGCUGACCUACCCCUCAGCGGGGGAUAACACGACGAAAGUUGUGCUAAUACCGCAGUAGCCAUUCGUGGGGAUUAGAAGCCCAUGAAGAAACUUUCGGGGCGGAGGGUGGGAGCUGCGGCCCAUCAGGUAGUUGGUGAGGUAGUGGCUCACCAAGCCAACGACGGGUCGGGGGCCUGAGAGGGUGACCCCCCACACUGGGACUGACACACGGCCAGACUCCUACGGGAGGCAGCAGUAAGGGAUAUUGCGCAAUGGGCGAAAGCCUGACGCAGCAACGCCGCGUGGAGGAUGAAGGUUUUCGGAUCGUAAACUCCUUUGGAGAGGGACGAGGAAGGACGGUACCUCUCGAACAAGUCACGGUAACUACGUGCCAGCCGCCGCGG
rnacentral:rRNA from 1 species